rnacentral:rRNA from 1 species
GUGAGGAAUAUUGGUCAAUGGGCGAGAGCCUGAACCAGCCAAGUAGCGUGCAGGAUGACGGCCCUAUGGGUUGUAAACUGCUUUUAUAGGGGAAUAAAGUGAGCCACGUGUGGUUUUUUGCAUGUACCCUAUGAAUAAGGACCGGCUAAUUCCGUGCCAGCAGCCGCGGUAAUACGGAAGGUCCGGGCGUUAUCCGGAUUUAUUGGGUUUAAAGGGAGCGUAGGCCGGAGAUUAAGCGUGUUGUGAAAUGUAGAUGCUCAACAUCUGAACUGCAGCGCGAACUGGUUUCCUUGAGUACGCAUAAAGUGGGCGGAAUUCGUGGUGUAGCGGUGAAAUGCUUAGAUAUCACGAAGAACUCCGAUUGCGAAGGCAGCUCACUGGGGCGCAACUGACGCUGAAGCUCGAAAGCGCGGGUAUCGAACAGGAUUAGAAACCCUAGUAGUCC